AUGGAGGUCGGGACGGGUGCCUUGGGGAGCCUGCUUCCCAAACUCAGCGAGCUGCUCUUGGAGGAGUAUCACCUCCACAAGCGCGUCAAGAAGGACGUCGAGUCCAGGCCCGGCCAGAUGAAGGGCAUGUACGCUGCCCUCCGCAAGGUGGCGGAAGUGCCGCAGGACCAGCUCGACGAGCAACUCGUGCUCUGGGCUGGUGACGUCAGAGAGCUCUCAUAUACCAUAGAAGACGUGGUCGACAAGUUCCUCGUGCGCAUGCGCAUCGAGGAGCUCGAAGCAAUAGAUAACUCGCACACACUUAGACGGCUAAUGCAGAAGAUGGCUACCUUCUUCAGAAAAGGUAAGACUCGCCGUCAGAUCGCUAAUGCGAUCAAAGACAUUAACAGUGAAAUCCAAGCCGUGGCCAACAGGCGUGGGCGCGUGGCAGUUGAAAAUAUUGUGCCUAAUCCUACCCCGGCGACAACUAUCGAUCCUCGCUUGCGGGCUCUUUACACAGAAAUGAAAGAGCUCGUUGGUAUCGACGGGAAAAGGGAUCAAGAGCUUAUAAAGCUUCUAUCCAUGGGGGAUAGUGUUGUCCCCGGGGAGAAACUUAAGAUAGUUUCUGUUGUUGGAUUCGGUGGAUUGGGCAAGACAACUCUCGUCAAAGCUGUGUACGACAAGAUCAAAGGAAGUUUCGAUUGUUCAGCUUUUGUUCCUGUCGGUCGGAAUCCUGAUGUGAGGAAAAUUAUUAGAGAUAUCCUCAUUGAUCUCGGCAAAUAUAACUCAGAUCUCAUGAUACUGGAUGAAAGGCAGCUUAUAGACAAGCUUCGGGAAGUUCUCGAGCAGAAAAGGUACCUGAUCAUAAUUGAUGAUAUAUGGGAUGAAAAACUAUGGGCAGUAAUAAAAUUGGCUUUCGAUAAUGAGAACAGUAAAGGAAGUCGGCUGAUAACGACAACCCGCAUAGUUAGUGUAUCAAAAGCAUGCUGUUCAUCUAGUGAUGGUUUUGUUUAUGAAAUGAAGCCCCUUUGUGACAAUGACUCUAAGGUACUCUUCUAUAAAAGAGUAUUUCAUGAGCGUGGAUGUCCUAGUGAAUUUGAGGAAGUAUCUAAAGAUAUCUUGAAGAAGUGUGGCGGGGUACCAUUGGCCAUUAUUACUUUAGCUAGUCUUUUGGCUAGUGAUCAGUAUGUAAAGUCAAAAGAUGAAUGGCAGAUCUUGCACCAGUCUAUUGGAUAUGGCCUUACAGAAGAUCCUAGUUUAGAGGAGAUGCAGAGGAUACUUUCAUUUAGCUAUUAUGGUCUACCUUCCCAUCUGAAGACUUGUCUAUUAUAUCUCACUAUAUAUCCAGAAGAUAGCAAUAUUGAGAGAGAGCAUUUGAUAUGGAAGUGGGUAUCGGAAAGUUUUAUUCAGUGUGGAAAGCAAGCAACUAGCCUCUUUGAGAUUGGAGAAACUUACUUUAAUGAGCUGGUCAAUAGGAGCAUGAUACAGCCGGUGUAUGAUGGUACAGGCACCGUAGAUGCCUGCUGUGUACAUGAUAUGGUCCUUGAUCUUAUUUGUUCCUUGUCAAGAGAAAAUUUUUUUGUUACUGUGUUGGAUGGUACUAGAGAUAGCACAUCUUUUAAAAGUAAUAUUCGGCGGUUGUCUCUCCAAAGUAGAAAUGAAGAUCGUCAAGGCAUGUGUCAAAUUAAUUCAAUGAGUGCAUCACAGCUGAGGUCUAUAACUGUCUUUACAAGAACUUUCAAUAUCAUUCCAGCUCUUUUGAAGUUUGAUGUUUUACGUGUAUUAGAUCUGAAUGAGUGCAAGCUUGUGGAAAGCAGGGGCGAGCUUGAUCUGAGGAUUCUAGGGAAUUUAUUUCACCUGAGGUAUCUGGAUUUGGCAGGUACUAACAUUUCUGAACUCCCAGCAGAAAUAGGAAAUCUGCAGUUUUUGCAAGUAUUGGAUGUAGGACAAAAUUUUGGGCUAAAAGAAUUACCACCGAGUGUUUGUAAGCUGAUAAGGUUGAUGUUUCUGAAUUUUCAUUUUUGGUGCUAUAUGCCUCCAAGUGUGCUGGGAAAUCUGGCAUCCUUAGAAGUGCUGAGUGACAUCUAUGCCUCCAUUGACAUUGUGCAAGAUCUUCGCAACCUGGAAAGACUAAGAGAGCUUGCCAUUUCUUUCGAUGGUAAGUGUUUGGAUUUAGAAAAAGCUUUUGUGGAGUCUGUGUGCAGCUUGCACAAUAUCCAGUGCUUAACUAUGCAAGGGGAUUUUGAACCGAUGGACAUCCUAGGGGAAUGUUGUUUCCCUACGCGAUAUGUCCGCCAAUUUAACUCCUACUAUGUCGGAGUAUUUUCUGCCCUCCCAACGUGGAUAAAGAGAGAUCCCACCCAUCUCUCGAGGCUCUCCGAGUUAAUUAUUCAUGUCGACGAAGUGAAGCAGGAGGAUGUGGAAAUCCUUGGGAGGUUGCCGGCUCUUCGUCAUCUCUUGCUAGCAACCAGCCACCAAACGCAGAGGCUGCUAACCAUUCGUGCCGAUGGUUUCCGUUGUAUGGUAGACUUCAUAUUGGACUCUGGCUCGGGGGCCCUAAUAGUUUUCGAACAAGGAGCAUUGCCAAGAGCAGAACGAGUAACCAUCUGCCUUGCCGUGCGUGUGGCAAAAGAGGACGGUAACGGUGAUUUCAACUUAGGCCUGCAUGGGAACAUGCCAUCACUUCGAUUUUUCCGUACUGGAAUCCAUUGGCGUGGAGCGAUGGUUGGGGAGGCAAAGGAAGCCGAGGCUGCAGUAAGACAUGCACUCCAUGACCAUCUAAGCAUCCCAGCAUGGAAUUCUAUGUGUGGCCAGAUAUGCCUCAAGGUUCCACCCAAACCUCCUUUUAAUUUCAUCGUAUUCUCCUCACGUACGUACCUAUGUACUUAG
rnacentral:rRNA from 1 species